UUCUGUUUUUUUAUUUAUAUCGAUUUAUUUUGCUUUUUUUUUUAAUUAUUUUCUAUUUCCUGUCAUUUUUGUUUCAUAGAGUAUAGAUCUUCAUAGGUUGUAACACAAAAUCUGUUGAUCUUUUCCUUUUCCCUUUCCCCUUUCUGUUGUUGUUGAUUGAGAUUUUGGUUUUGAUUUUCUGUCUGAAGCUUUUAAAGUCCUGUUUUUUGUGUCUUUGUCUACCUGUCACACUGCAUCAAUUGCAGCAGAAAUAAUGGAAUUCCCGUGAAAAUGCAUGGUCAUGAAUUUGGGAAAGCAAGUUGGAUAGGGAGUCUUUUGUUGUGUGUGGGUAUGUGCACAUGUAGAUAUAACCUGUUCUCUUAUUUGAGUGUUGUUCAUUCAUGUUCCCUUUGUUUGUUGGUUUCGUUAUUAGCAGAAGUCAAAUAUGAUUUCAUUUUUGGGGACCUUAUCUGUAAGCUCUCUCUCUCUCUCCCUAUUUUUCUGUCUUUAGAUUCAUUUUCAAGUACUCAGUUUGCAUUCCAGAACCCACUUUCUUUGUUGGGUAUUUUUGUUUUCACUUUUCUGCUGCUUGUUAAAAACAAAAGUUCGAAUUUUUUUUAUAAAAAAUGAGAAAAAUGGUAUCAUAUUAUGGUACUAUGGUACACUUGAAUUGCAUUCGGAAACCCACUCUCAUUUUUGGUUAUUUUUGUUUUCACUUUUCUGCUGCUUGUUAACAACCAAAAUAAAAAAUAAAAGAAGAAGAAGAUAAAAGUGAGAUAUAUCAUAUUAUGGUUACUAUGGUACACUUGAACUGAACCUAGCACAUUAAUUUUGGAUUUCUUUAGUUUAAUUGUCUAUCUGAGAUAGCUUUCUUUCAUAUAUUUUUCACAGUUCAUAGCCGAUCAUUGUGGUACUUUGAAUAUGUCUUAGCCUUUUUCUGUGCAAGUUUUUCUUAUUUAUCCUGGUCCUCCUUUUCUUCUCAAAGUACAUUGCUUUUUUCUUUUCCUUUUGUUUGCCUUCUGUUUAGUGCUUAUGGCCUUGAAUGAAGUUCUACUUAAUGUUUGGCACAUCUCCAAUUGUAGGCUUAAAUUACUUUUUGGGUGGGACAUCACGAAAUUACAGGGAUGAUGGAGUAGACUUCAAUUGUGCAUCAAUUGUAUGUUUGGAUGAGAGGAAGGCUUGGAUGAGGAGUACUAGAUGUAGGUCUUGUUAGGAGAAAAUUGUACUAAAGAAGCUACUCAUAGUGGUAAAAGUUGAAGAAAUGCAGAGGAAAAUUGGUGAUGAUGAAUGUAUAGCUCUGUAUACAUAUGGAGAACUUGACUUGAAGGAUAAUUAGGUAUAGGAAUUUUGGUGUAUUAUUAUAAUUAGGCUUGCAGCUAGCUGCCU